rnacentral:rRNA from 1 species
AGAGUUUGAUCAUGGCUCAGGAUGAACGCUAGCGACAGGCCUAACACAUGCAAGUCGAGGGGCAGCGCGGGAGAAGCUUGCUUUUCCUGGCGGCGACCGGCGCACGGGUGCGUAACAGGUGUGCAAUCUGUCCUAUACCGGGGCAUAGCCCAGCGAAAGUUGGAUUAAUUCUCCAUGUGAAGCGAUACCGCAUGAUAUUGCUUUGAAACGUAAGGGUAUAGGGUGAGCACGCUUCUGAUUAGAUAGUUGGUGGGGUAACGGCUCACCAAGUCGACGAUCAGUAGGGGUUCUGAGAGGAAGGUCCCCCACAUUGGAACUGAGACACGGUCCAAACUCCUACGGGAGACAGCAGUGAGGAAUAUUGGUCAAUGGGCGAGAGCCUGAACCAGCCAAGUCGCGUGAAGGAUGAAGGUUCUAUGGAUUGUAAACUUCUUUUGUCCGAGGGUAAAAAAGGCCACGUGUGGCUUCUUGCAAGUAUCGGACGAAUAAGCAUCGGCUAACUCCGUGCCAGCAGCCGCGGUAAUACGGAGGAUGCGAGCGUUAUCCGGAUUUAUUGGGUUUAAAGGGUGCGUAGGUGGUUUGUUAAGUUUGUGGUGAAAGCGUGCGGCUCAACCGUACCAAGCCAUGAAAACUGGCGAACUUGAGUGCAAACGAGGUAGGCGGAAUGUGAUGUGUAGCGGUGAAAUGCUUAGAUAUGUCACAGAACCCCGAUUGCGAAGGCAGCUUACCAGCAUGCAACUGACACUGAGGCACGAAAGCGUGGGUAUCAAACAGGAUUAGAUACCCUGGUAGUCCACGCAGUAAACGAUGAAUACUAGCUGUUGGCGAUAUAUGGUCAGCGGUACAGCGAAAGUGUUAAGUAUUCCACCUGGGGAGUACGCCGGCAACGGUGAAACUCAAAGGAAUUGACGGGGGCCCGCACAAGCGGAGGAACAUGUGGUUUAAUUCGAUGAUACGCGAGGAACCUUACCC